rnacentral:tRNA from 3 species
GCGGGUGUCGUAUAGUGGUAAUACUUCAGAUUUCCAAUCUGAUGAUAGGGGUUCGAUUCCCCUCACCCGCUCCA